rnacentral:rRNA from 1 species
CCUACGGGUCGCACCAGUGGGGAAUAUUGGACAAUGGGCGCAAGCCUGAUCCAGCCAUGCCGCGUGAGUGAAGAAGGCCUUAAGGUUGUAAAGCUCUUUCACCGAUGAAGAUAAUGACGGUAACCGGAGAAGAAGUCCCGGCUAACUUCGUGCCAGCAGCCGCGGUAAUACGAAGGGGGCUAGCGUUGUUCGGAAUUACUGGGCGUAAAGCGCGCGUAGGCGGAUAGAUAAGUCAGAGGUGAAAUCCCGGGGCUCAACCCCGGAAUUGCCUUUGAUACUGUUUAUCUUGAGUGCACAAGAGGUAAGUGGAAUUCCGAGUGUAGAGGUGGAAUUCGUAGAUAUUCGGAGGAACACCAGUGGCGAAGGCGGCUUACUGGUCUGCAACUGUCGCUGAGGCGCGAAAGCGUGGGGAGCAAACAGGAUUAGAUACCCGCGUAGUC